ACCCGCCGCGCGGCCCCGACCGGGGGUGGCCCGGGGACGGCGGCCCCCACCGAGCUGUCCCGGAGGACCGGGGGCGCGGCGGGGGGAGGGGGUGCGCGGCGCGAGGGAGCAGUUGGAGAGAUGCUGACUGUUUACACCAACGGAGCAAGAAGACGGAGAGCCAUUUGAGGAGGGCGGCAUGGGCAGCACCACUGAGCAACGACAAAUUUCAGCCCCCAGCAUCUUCCUUCUCUAUUUGCAAGAAUACCCGUGGCUUGAAGAAACCCAGCAGGAGGAGGAACAAGUGCAGUGCUGGAGUGAUGGAGGCCCUAACAGCCAUCUGGGAGCACAGCAAAGCUCUCUGUGCCCUGGAAAGAAAGGAUUCCGGAGAUGGAAGACACCUCUGACCCAUAGCAGCCCCCGUGAGAGAUUAUAUCCCAUAAGAGCUGGAGGCAGAGAAGAGCUGCGUGAUGCUUGAUGGUUUCAAGGAGAAAAAAAAAAGAGAGAAAGAACGGAAGAAAAACAAGAAAGCAUCUGGAUUUUGUUGUAAGCUAAACACAAAUAACAGCACAGAGAUUUCUGCUGGU